rnacentral:rRNA from 1 species
GAUGAACGCUGGCGGCGUGCUUAACACAUGCAAGUCGAACGAAGCACUUUAUUUGAUUUCCUUCGGGACUGAUUAUUUUGUGACUGAGUGGCGGACGGGUGAGUAACGCGUGGGUAACCUGCCUUUUACAGGGGGAUAACAGUUUGAAACGGCUGCUAAUACCGCAUAAGCGCACAGCAUCGCAUGAUGCAGUGCGAAAAACUCCGGUGGUAUAAGAUGGACCCGCGUUGGAUUAGCUAGUUGGUGAGGUAACGGCCCACCAAGGCGACGAUCCAUAGCCGAGCUGAGAGGGUGACCGGCGACAUUGGGACUGAGACACGGCCCAAACUCCUACGGGAGGCAGCAGUGGGGAAUAUUGCACAAUGGGCGAAAGCCUGAUGCAGCGACGCCGCGUGAGCGAAGAAGUAUUUCGGGAUGUAAAGCUCUAUCAGCAGGGAAGAUAAUGACGGUACCUGACUAAGAAGCACCGGCUAAAUACGUG